rnacentral:lncRNA from 1 species
AUGCCACGAAGGGCCAUGCCCCAGCAGCACCAGAUUCUUCUCUGUGCCACGUGCCAUGGGAGGGAACGACCUCACGGGUCAGCCGACUCCGCAGCGUGUGCCAGACGGGGGCACGGGCGUCGGGCAGGCCACAGGGGCAUCCCCGGGAGCAGGCCCAAGGGCUGGGCGGGCUGUCCUCCCCCCGGGGCGAGGGGGCAGGACGGUGCCCGGGGCUCGCUGUCCGCGGGCAGGUGCAAGAGCGACCCCCUGCAUGCGGAGCACGGGGCUGCGGCCGGGGCCACAGGACCUGUGACAGCCGAGGACAGAGUACGCACCCGGCGGCCGGACAAGGGCCCAUCAGCGGCCGGGGCGGCCAGCGGGGACUCCUGGGGAGGUGACACAGGAGCCAGGGGGAGCCAGGGCAGGGCCCCGAGGAGGAGCCACCCGCGUGAAGGGAGCCCGCGGGGUGAGGCAGAGGGCGGGCGGCAGCACCGAGGCCACGACCCUCGGUUGGCCUUUGGCUGUCCUGGUGCCCGUCCCCUCGUCUGGUCGUCGCUCCGGGCGUCUCGCCUGCCGCCAGGGACCGCACCAGGGACCGCGCCGGCCCCAGGACCUCGGCCACGAGGCAGUGAGCAGCCCCGGGCGGGGGCGCCUGGGAGGGAGCAGUUGCGGUCUCCGGGCUGGGCACGGGCCCGCCCCCCGCAGGACGCCCGGAGCUCGCGGCCACCUUGCCGAGGACGGGACGGGGGAAGAGGAAGCCACCGGGGGGUCACUGGCCGGGGGCUCCGCUCCUGCGGGGAGAUGCCGCCCGCGGGGGCGCGGACACCGGUGGCUCUGGUCGCCCCUGCCCAUCACGGCCACCGCGUCUCCGGGACGCCGGCCCCUGGAAGCCACCUGCUCCGCCACCGGACCCGGGGCCAUCCUUCCCGGCCGACAAGGGUGUCUGGUUCCGGGCCCAUAACGGAGAGGACCUGGUCCCGGGGUCGUGUUCCCAAGGGGGGAGCUCGGCGGCGCAGAUGUCCCCGUUCCCUCCGAGCUGCUGCUCCUGGGCUCAGGCCCCGAGGCGGUGGACAGGGCGUGGCGGGUCCCCAGCGGCCCGACAGGGAGGUGGGCCAGGUGCGCGCAGGGGGCGAGUUUGCUCUCCUGCCGAGACCCUGA